ensembl:misc_RNA Gm22793 predicted gene, 22793
GGAUGUGAGAGUGAUCUGGCUGCACAUCUGUCACCCCAAUGACCAUUGUUCAGGGUAGAUUUGGCUGAUCUGGCUAACUAGGCAGUGUUCCCUUCCCCCCUUACCACUCCAGAGGACAACAUUCCCCGAAUACAGGAGAACCAGUCUUCAGUCAAGGGUACAUAGCUGUGCUCUCCUGCUAGAACUUCCAAACAAGCCCACAUGUGCAUAGGUGCGACAAUAUGCCCACACACAUACUACACAAGGUAAACAAAUGCAUGCUUGAAGAGUAUCAAAAAUAUAGGCGAAAUUGAAAUAUUGUGGUGAACUCUCUUCCUAUACUGGACAUUU